GGAGGGGACCGGGCAGCCGCCGCGCGUGCGGAGGAAAGUCCGGACUCCACAGGGCAGCGAGCCUGCUAACGGCAGGGCGGGGUGACCCGACGGAAAGUGCCACAGAAAACAAACCGCCAGCGGCCGCCCACGGGCGGUGCGGGCAAGGGUGAAACGGCGGGGUAAGAGCCCACCGCGGACCUGGUAACAGGGACGGCACGGUAAACCCCUCGCGGAGCAAGGCCAAAUAGGGAGGCGUCCGAGGCUGGCCCGGCCGAGGCCUCCGGGUAGGCCGCUCGAGGCCGUCGGCGACGGCGGUCCUAGAGGAAUGGCUGCCCCCUCCGGGAAACCGGAGGGACAGGAUCCGGCUUACAGGUCCCCUCCAUGA
rnacentral:RNase_P_RNA from 1 species